rnacentral:rRNA from 1 species
UACGUAGGGGUCUAGCGUUGUCCGGAAUCAUUGGGCGUAAAGAGCUCGUAGGCGGUUCGGCAAGUCGGAUGUGAAAUCUCCACGCUCAACGUGGAGGGGCCAUUCGAAACUGCCGUGACUCGAGUCCGGUAGGGGAGUGCGGAAUUCCAGGUGUAGCGGUGAAAUGCGUAGAUAUCUGGAGGAACACCGGUGGCGAAGGCGGCAUCCUGGACCGAUAUUGACGCUGAGGCGCGAAAGCCAGGGGAGCAAACGGG